AGACAUUGAAAAUCGAAAUCACUCAUCUUCAUAACAAAUCAUGAGAAGUUCUUCUCUGGGACUUGGUAUUUCUCACAAUCCCCACAUUAGACAGCGACCACAGAGACAGAGAGACGGAGAGGCAGAGAGAGACAGAGAGAGUAUCAUAUUACUCUAAACAAAACCUCCACUGAACAUGACUCAAAUUCACGAAAUUGCAAAUGGAAUUAACAGAAACAGUCUUUAGUUUCAGCGGCAAAGCUAAUGCUUUCCGGGCAGAGGAAGGACUUCUGCGACUCUCACCAUCGUCUUCUGCGCGCACGCGACGGAGGAGCGUAAAAAAACAAGACGCUUAAGCAGAACAAACACAAUUCACAAACCGGUCCCACAUCAUCCUCUUAACCAGCUUCCUCUUCGGCGGAAUCACCUCUCCUCUCUUGGCUCUGCAACGCGCCUCCCUUCCUUCCGUCGCCGUCUUCGUCUCCGCCUCCUCCAUGGUGCACCACACCUUCCUCCCUAUAGCGUCGCCAUACCUUUCGCACUUCUCCAUCCCUCUCAAUCGCAGCUCUCCGCGAUCGAUCUUUUCCCCUCUCGAGAUAAUGCGAGUGCCUUCAACUGUCUCCCUGGCUCUCUUCGCUCUGUGGUUUGGUUAUAUAAAGAAAAA
rnacentral:lncRNA from 1 species